AUGACAGCCUGUCUUUGCUGCACUGCAGAGGCGCCAUCUUCUCGCUCUUAAUCUCCGCUCGCCCCAACCCUGCCGGCACCGGGCCCUAUACCCGCCCGGCCGAGAGAAACCCCCCACAGCCCGGCUCCACACGCGCGGGUCCAGCGCCUUCCCCUUGCAAAGCCGGGAGAAGGCGUCUCCUCCCCGCCCACCCCCCAGCGGAUGUCCCUUGCUCCCAGCCCACCUGAGCAGAGCCCGGGGGCAUGAAACCUCCCUGUUCCUCGCCAGGAGCAGGCGGAGGAUCCAGGCGGGAGUUAUUUUUAAGGACGGCAAACUGCCUUUCUGUUGCAAUGUGGGAGACACCUAGCUCUGCCUCCCUCGCAUCACCCGUCUGGUGAGAUUGCUGCCAGACCCGCUGCUUGUGCCACAGCCAGAGGUGCACAACACAUCAUUGUAACGAAAUUAAAUCCAAAUAAAAGACACACUUUGCUAGCUGCUCAUGUCGGAGGGGCAGUUCUUUAUGUCCUAGAGCCCAUCUCCUAGGAUGUAGAGUUCAGACAUUAAACUGAUGCUGGAUUUGUAUUAAUGCUUUGUAACUAGAACAUGUUUUUACUUGCUCUGGGACCACUGAUAUCUUCUUUGCUCCGAAAGCUAGUGUAAUUCUCUGCCUGCAGCAGUUUUUGCUGAUAUCUUUUACAGAAUGUCCAUAUGCCUAUGGGUACUUUGUUGACUGAUCAGUCAUCCCUGUUUUAAAUAUAUAUAAAAUGUGCAGAGAUAACCCCCAAAAUGUUUGUGAAGUCUCCACGAACACACAUUCACAAGUUAACUGCAGGUUAUUUGGAGAAAUUUUGCUCUUCAUUCAUUUUUUUUACAAACUGGCUCGUUGUCAUAUUAAACUAGUCUCUUCAAAUAUUGAUAAGUUAUACCAUGAUCUAACAACCUUAUCAGGGUGCUAGAUCCUGUAGGUAAGCACAGGUUCAAUUCCCUAGACCCCAGUCCUACAAACACACAAGAACAAGGCCAAAAUUCUACAACUGAUACCUUGUAGGUGGACAGCUGUACCCAUAAGGGGGCAUCAUUGCUUACUACUAAUUGCAGCAUCUGUGCUUGAAUUUAUAGGAUGACUCACAUGAGUAAAGCUAGGCACAGGUGUAAGUGCUUGCAGGAUUGGGGCCCAAGACCCAUAUAUGAUGAAAAAGUAUUUUCUUGCUGCCUCAACAGAAUUAAUAUUGUAUAAUACAAUGUGUAUAAUAAAUCUGCAAGGAAGCCUAAA